rnacentral:rRNA from 1 species
GACGAACGCUGGCGGCGUGCUUAACACAUGCAAGUCGAACGGAAGGGCCCUGCUUUUGUGGGGUGCUCGAGUGGCGAACGGGUGAGUAACCCGUGAGUCUCCUGCCCUUGACUUUGUGAUAACUUCAGGAAACUGCGGCUAAUACCGGCUAGGAGCUCCUGCUGCAUGGUGGGGGUUGGACAGUUUCGGCGGAUGGGGGUGGACUCGCGGCUUAUCAGCUUGUUGGUGGGGUAGUGGCUUACCCAGGCUUUGACGGGUAGCCGGCCUGAGAGGGUGACCGGGCACAUUGGUACUGAGAGACGGCCCAGACUCCUACGGGAGGCAGCAGUGGGGAGUAUUGCACAAUGGGCGGAAGCCUGAUGCAGCAGCGCCGCGUGCGGGAUGACGGCCUUCGGGUUGUAAACCGCAUUCGCCUGUGACGAAGCGUGAGUGACGGUAAUGGGUAAAGAAGCACCGGCUAACUACGUG